rnacentral:lncRNA from 1 species
AACCGUUCUGCCACCCACCACAACAUCAAAGACUUCAACUCAGGAGGGGCUGCUCAGGCCCCCAGGGGCCAGCUACAAGCAGCACACUAGGUUGCAUGGGCAGAGAGAAUUCAACCGUGGUCCAGAGUUUGGAAGGGAGGAUCAAGGAUUUCACAUCCU